ACUAAUGCUCCAUCAUCAGUUACAUUAACUACUGAUAUUAGUACCAGUACAUCAGUUACAGUUAUAUCAUCUACUUCAAGUAAGUGCUAGCUUUAUUCCAUUAAUUAAUUAUGGCAGUAACAGUUACAGUGUCUUCAACAAUUCAUGAACAAUCAUCAUCUUUUAUUUCAGCUACUAGUACAUCAACUAGUACUACUAGUAUGAGUGUACCAGUUUCAUCAUCAACAACUGUAUCAACUACUGCUGCUGGUUCUAAUGCUGUUCCUAUUAUAUCAGGAGCCAUUGGAACAGUAUUUGUUAUAAUAAUAAUAAUUAUUAUUAUAUUGGUGUUAGUGAUACUGGCAAUCAAGAAACAAAGAAGAAAAAAAUAUAAAAUAUCUAAAGAGCAAGUUUACAUCUAUAUUUAUGUAUUCAUGUAUUAUCAAACCUACAGUAGUACUGAUGCAGCAGUUACUCCUACAUAUGAUGAGAUCAUUAUUAAACCAACUACUACUACUGGAGUACCAAUAUAUGAUACACCAAUGGAACUACAGGCUAAUACUGCUUAUGAUGUUAUUAAUAAAGAUAUAAUUAAUGUACAUAAUAAUGAUGCAUAUGGACAAAUAAUGAUGUAACAUAGAUCUA